rnacentral:rRNA from 1 species
GUGGGGAAUCUUGCGCAAUGGGCGAAAGCCUGAUCCAGCCAUGCCGCGUGAGUGAUGAAGGCCUUAGGGUUGUAAAGCUCUUUCAGUAGGGAAGAUAAUGACGGUACCUACAGAAGAAGCCCCGGCUAACUUCGUGCCAGCAGCCGCGGUAAUACGAAGGGGGCUAGCGUUGUUCGGAUUUACUGGGCGUAAAGCGCACGUAGGCGGAUUGGUCAGUUAGAGGUGAAAUCCUGGAGCUCAACUCCAGAACUGCCUUUAAUACUGCCAGUCUAGAGUCCAGAAGAGGUGAGUGGAACUCCUAGUGUAGAGGUGGAAUUCGUAGAUAUUAGGAAGAACACCAGUGGCGAAGGCGGCUCACUGGUCUGGUACUGACGCUGAGGUGCGAAAGCGUGGGGAGCAAACAGGAUUAGAAACCCUAGUAGUCC